rnacentral:tRNA from 1 species
GCUGGGUUAGCUCAGUUGGUUCGAACAUGGUGCUAAUAACACCAAGUUCACAGGUUCAAUCCCUGCUUACUGCA